AGAAAAUCAGAAUUUUUGCGAGUGAAUUUCACGAUUGUUCUAUCUCUUGAAAGACGAACGUCACAACUAUAAUACCUCACGUGGGGCACUGACAACCUUCAGCGCAUUGAGGACAGUCAAGAACAUCUGAUAAAACUAUUCGCGUGCACAUAUAAAUGAAAAAAUCUCAGAAAUAAAAAUCCGUUUACUGACUGAAGAAUCAUAUAUAUAGACAAUUUUUUUCGUCUCGUCUGUUAUAUUGUGGUUAAUAUACAUCUCAAAGUGCAAACAUGAAGUUCUUGACUGUCACCUUUGCGUUAUUCUUCUUAAUGUUCAUCGGUCUGGUUAGUGGAGAGAAAGCGGAUAGUCCCAUCGAGAAAGCGUUUGAGGGAAAGUCGAAUGAGCAGAAGUUAAAAAUGAUGAAAUACCUAUCCGGAUGAACAUCUGGAAUUGUCAGCGAAUGUAUUCUCAGAUCACAGAAAUGGAAAACUCCAAUAAAAUAUUUUUUCGUUGACAAAAUAUUCUAUUUUUCAUUACCGAUACCUAAUUCCCCUCCUUUAAUUAAUGCAUUUAAACCCGUUAUUAUUUUUUCAUCUAACAUUAACUGGUCCUGACAGACACCAGCCAAUGAAAUAUUUCCACCAAACUCUUGGUCCUUCUUCCCAGAAAAAAAAUUCGCUCGACGAUUUCAUAAGUGUCGUAAUUUUUGAUAAAUCUUACUCUUCAUGUAGAAAAAAAAUUUGCAGUGUAGGGGUUAUUCAGAAGUUUUAAACGGGAGUGGUCAGACCUGGGGGGGUUGUGCUCCAAAGGUGGUGCACGAGAUGAGAGAGUUCUGAGGGAGUAGCCUGCAGCCCAGAGGGGGUGAGCGAAAUGAAGCAUUCCUUUACGAGGGUCCUUACUGCUCGUAAAGCCGACUUUAUGAUGAUAAUUACAGGGCCAGGGUAGUAAAUCUGGUUGGACGUUAGGUUACUUCAUUCGUUGGUGCGUGUGUGGGACUAAAACAUCUCCGUUGGCAGCAAGAGCUUGUUGGAGAGUACGCGAAGGGCGGAGAGGGGGGCAUUAAAGCAAUAUAACCGAAGACGAAGUUUAUGAAACCAUCGUCGUGCACGUACGACAAUCAGGAUCUUCGAUGCCAUUGAUCGUUUACCUGAGAUUACCACAUCUUUUUCGGGGGGUGUUGAGGGCCCAACAAGAUUAAUUACGGCUGGACUUUUUUUGUUCUCCUCCCCGCAAAAUGCUUUAAUGCAAUUAUCUUCAUUAGUGGGGGAGACUCCAUGAAAGGAGGGGGGAGGCGGAUUACAAUACGUAAUGAAGCGAAUUAUUUGAGGGUGGUCCUUCAUUCUUUCAUCAGCAGUCUGUAUGAUUUUUCACUGACUUUUUACAAAUACAAAGGAAUAUGGGCCUUGAUAGUACCUUUGUCACAUGCAAAUAUUGAUAUUUCUAUCGUUCCUAAAUAUAUUCACCUCCCGGCUAUUCUUCGGGCAAAAUGGAAAGUUAGAAAAUAAAUUUGACGUAUCAAUCUCUCAGAAGACCAAAGGAGGAAAUGGGUGAUAUCUAGUAUGUCGCUGGGGAGCUGGACUACGAGAGGGAACUCUUAGCCCACAGGUCACCGGUCUGUCACAUAACGUAACAUAUCGACUACUUCAUAUGCCCCCAAAGUUUAACAGUUUCAACUUGGAAAUUCCAAAGUUAUUCGGUCUUGAUAGUCAUUUGUGAUUGAAUCUAAUUAUUAUCACUGUUAUGAUGGUACAGUGAUACAUCUCAGUGAGUUGAAGAUAGGUUGAAGUAAUGCUACAAUCACCAUCUCAACUCCAUUCAGGAUAAUUGCAUAAAAUAAGUCGAGAGUACACCCCAGAGGGGAAAAAAGCUUCGAUAAAAUGAUAUGCGAGUUCUUAGAAAAAUAUAUUUUUUUAUAAUUUAUAUGGAAUUUUUUUAAUCGUGCAAUAAAAAUUCGCGGUAAAUUCGUUUGUGAAGGGAACUGGAAUCUGCCUGGCCAAAUGCCGAGUCCAAAAAGUUUCCUCCGAAUACCCCUCGACCUUUAAAAAUAAUUGGUUCUGCUCUUCAAGCUUUCCUGCCGGGAAAUGUGGAAUAAUUUUUGAAAAAAAAUUAUUCCCAUUCUCUGGUGAAAUUACGAAUUCGAAAUUCCGUAAAUCUCUGUUAAAAGCACCUGAACCGGAAAAGGAUGGAUUAAAAGGAUUCAGUAGCCCGUAAUCAGCUUUGAAUUUCAACAUGCCUUCAUGCAACACUCCUCACUAAGGCGGUAAUGCAGCGGAAUCCCAUUUCACUCAACUAUCUGACCCCAUAAAUUUGACAGAAAAACAAAUUACAAAACGGGAGAAAAAUUCUAGUGCCAUCGAUUUUUCAAAUAAAUGUUUUAUCGUCCAGUGUUAUCGAUCCAAUAAAUGUUUUUUUCCACAAAUAUUAAAAUGUGUUCUUGAAACUUAACUUUAUGAUUAAACUUUAAAGAAUAUCUUUCCGCAUGCCCAAGUAAUUUUACGAUAUUUUUAAAAACACUCCAGUUGUUCUCUCUUGCAUUAACGAAAUGAAUGGAUUGAAAAAAAUGUAUUUCAUCCUCGAUUUAGAACGAAAAUGCCUGUCAAAUAGCCGACAAAUCGUUAGUCGUCAGAAGGGGCGUUCGAAAAGUUUUCUCGUUCAUGACUUUGGUCCACCAGAUGUGUCACAUUUUUUGUAAGACGUCGGAGGGGGAGAGGGGGAAAGAUGAAGGGCACCACAAAUUGUUUAACUUUUCGUAUAUUGCGAAAUGGGAACUUGACGAUACAAUAAAUUCGCUUGAUGAGGGAACAAUAUCUGGGCAUAUCGUUUCUCAUUCCUUGCGAAUGAUAAAUCAAUAUUUUGAAAAAGUGCAAUUUAUGAGCUUUAAUAAGCUCUAUUCGUUGAAAAAAUUAUCAAAUGUAAUGUCAUCCCCAGAAAUACAUAAAAAAUAUUUAAAAACGAUUUUCUAAAAUCCAUUUACGAAGUACUCACCGGCUUUUCACCCACAACCCUAGCAUCAAGUUCAAUAUCACUUAGCCUUUACUACCGGUAAUUAUCAUUUUACGAUCGGCUCCCUGUAUUCUUAGGGCUUUAUUACCAACGUUCGGAUCUUAGCAACGCGUUAACACCUCCCUUCCCACCUCCUCUCAAAUUUUACCUCUUUCUUUUGCGUACACUGUUACGAUCAGAACCCCUUUCCCUCCUCCCCUCCCCCAUUAGAACCCCCGAGUAGCCGAACAAUAAAACCGAUUUUUUUUUUCGUCAAAAAGUUUUCGUUCCUGAAAUAAGAUACAAAUUGCCAAAUGAUUUUAUUUAUUUAUCGAAUUCUCGAGAGUAUUUUCCCAUAUGAUGGGAAAUUUAGGGGUUGAUCCAAAAGGGUGCGGUAUAAAUUUUCAGCUGUCCAGUCGAAUAUUUUCCAUAUUUCGUAAUGUUUCUGUCUUGACCGUUUGCGGUCUCCCGGUGGAGACGUCAACCCUCCCUGCAUAUCUACAAAUCAUUUCUGUAUCCCUUUUUGGUAAUCUCCAGAGAAUUGAAAAUACGUUUCCAUGUUUUUAUAUUCAAAUACAGAUGCCAAAGAUUAUUCGCAGAUUCUUCAGUCAGAAUUCAUGAGAUGGAAAAAUUUAUUAAAACGAGAACUUGUCUAUCAAUUUAUUAGGCAAUAAUUCUAGAGAAUUAUAAAGACUUCCGUAAAUUUUCAUUUCAUUAACUUUAAAAAAAUACCCAACCAUCCCUUCUUCCAAUCUCCUAUUACUGAAAAACGAAAAUAUUGCAAUAAUAUUCUCAUCACCAGAAUCAACUCUGGGAAUGAGUGCCGGAGACAGAACGAGAGCCGAGUACUGAGUAGACGAGUUGAGAAAAUAUUUGAAGCGAAGAAACACUCGUACGUCAUCCCGGGCCUUAUACCGGUAUAUACGCUCUGGCCGGGUUACGCCAGAAGGUAAUUAGCUAUCGAGUUACCUCCACUAUUUCCAUCUCUACCCCUUCCUCACUCCCAGCAACUCUUUACUUUUCAGUCUCUCGUCCUCCUCAUGGCUUGGCUAAACCUGCCUGGGCUCUCCUGGAUCCGCUUUCAGACAUGCAAUUAUGUCUGAUGGAAACGGAAGGCGGCACACGUUAUGUGUACGUGGAAGUCUCCACCCCUAUUUCACCCUGCUACCACCCAUUCACCCAUCCAACCUGCCCAACGACUCUUCAAGCGUCGGAACAAACUCCAGAAAUGUUUCCCCCCCAUCGUGUCUACUCCUUUUCUCCUGGCUAAGAGUUUCUCCUGCCAAAUGAAAUUAUGAUUCUGUCCUCACGAUUUUCUAUUGAUUUACUUUUCGUUUAUCAUACCCUGAGGAUAGGCUGAUAAAAAGCACCUCAACCCGGCGAAAAAUGAUUGAAAAAAAUCUCAAAACCUCAUUUCCAUUAAAAAUCAUCCAAGUGUUCUUGAGCAAAAUACAUUAUACGCAAGACCUACCCCCUCCUCCUCUAUCUUUCCAAUUUUCUUUUGUCUCCAACUACCUUGCCCCCUCGCGAACAAUUUAUGACUCGAAAAAAAAGCGUAAAAAAAGGAAAAUAAAAGGAGAAACGACAAAGGUUUGGUAGGCGAGAAGAAAGGACUCACACCGGAGUAGAAUGAGAAAAUCUCGUCUUCGGGUCGAAGGGUCAAAACUUCUUGUAAACCAUAAAGAGGAUUCCCAGUCAUUAGAUCGCUUUGCCCUGGAGCAUUUCUCCUGUUUUUCGAUCCUUCUUCUUUUUUACCGUUGACGACAGAUCGCCAACGGCUCGCUACAGCUCUUAAGAGGAUUAUUACUUUCCCUCACUCUCCACUAUCCUUGACUCUACUAUCCUCUCUCAUUCUGGGGGAAACCACAGACGUUAUGGAUCUCUACUCUUUCAUCGUUUGUAAAUUGUGAAUAAAUAAUCCAUGCACCUGAGAUAUAUCUCUUACGGUAAAAUUAACUUUUGGAAAAUACACGAGACAAUGUAUUUUAAAAAGUGGCAAAAUUUGUAAGAACGACUUUCAUGUCGAAGGUGCAGAAGGGAACUCCAAAAUAAUUUAUCUUUUGGAGGAAGAUAGAUUUUUAGAAGAAACUGGAGGAAGAACAGGUUAAAAAUAUACCGAAGAAAAUGAUUUGAAUUUUCAUUUUUAAUUAAGAGCUAAAUCAAAUUAGUGAAGAAACCCGUACCAUCUGAUGUACGUGAUAGUGAAACCCGUGGUUGAAUUAACUGUGCUCAUCCAGACCAGCGGGAUGUUGGUUUUAAUCUGCCACAUAAUCCCCGAAAAAAAGAAUGAGAAGAAGAUUUUCCCAUUAACUCUUAAUUUAUUCUGAACAUUAAGAAUCCAAGGACAACCAAAAUUGAAUUUCAAGAAAUAGUCAGACGAUUAGUUUCAGCUGUCGAUGUUAAAAUUUGGGGCACUCGCAGCACCAAACGUCGUGAUUUUUCCCCGAUGGAUUGGGGGUAAGAAAGGGUGGGGGGGGGGGGAGGGUGCAUACCCCCAUAGAUCACGAAAAGAGAAGUGGGGAUUGCCCCAGGAGCAAUUGAGUUAGGAAGGAACCAGUUCGGCAAACACUUCUCUUUUCGAAGAAUAAAAUUUAUGGCUUAAAAAAGUCUAGGGAGAGAGAUCUCACCCACUUUAUCUGUAAUGUACUGAUCUUGCCUUCGUCGUUUGCUUUCUUUUUUCCUCCCUCUCUCUCUCUCUCUCCCGCUUUUUUUUUCCUUAAAAUCCCUCACCCCAUCGGUUUGGACUUGAGAUCUCCACUCGGUACACACAGAGUCCAUGAUUUAUAUCGACUCGACCCUCAAAGCUCGAGAGUUAUUUUGAUAAGGAAGUUUUCCCGAAGUGUACAAAACUGAUCAUGUUGUGAUUUUCAUGAUGGAGAACACCAUACAUGGGAUAAACUUUCUUGAUAUCUCAUGGACAAUUGAAUUGAAUCACUGAUUGAAGAAAUUAACACAUAGUCCUCGAGCUUUUUAUGUUUAAUUGGAGAAAGUCAUGAGCCCUGCGUUGGUCAUACAAGAAAUUACCACUGUUACCCCUUCAAAAAAUUAACUAAACUAUUUCUCAGAAUUGUCCAUAGGAUCUUGAACAAUCAACCAACCCCUAUAUGAAAUUCACAUAUUUAUCAUGAGCCCACAUGCCGAAGAAAUGUUCACCACGUGAAUAUUUACCCAAGUGAUUUGCUCGCCUCGAAGAGGACCACCCACAUCCUCACCCUCCCCCACCUCCCUUAUCCAACCAAAGCUAUUCAUCCUGUGUCUCACGUAGUCUGAGGAGAAUAACUUUGUACUUUGAGUUUCCAAGGCGAAUGCAUCUCCAGAACUCCAAAAUCCAUCUCAAAUAAUUCACCUACCAAAGAAUGAAAAAAAAUCUAGUCACAUCGUCAAUGACAUCAACCAACUCUGAUCAUUGAUUUAAAUAAAAAAUAUAUGUUAUAUAUAUUUUUUAUUGUAAUAUCAAAUGUCUCCAAAGUUUUCCUACAGAUAGUUUCCGGUGGUCCUAAAUAAUCCAGGAGGAAGCGGAAAUGAUGAAAAGAAGCAUGAUAAAUCGCAGAAGAGAUGUCUGAAUGUGGCUGAAAGCUUAGUAAGGAAUCGAGACCCUCUUCUAAAGUUUUGGAUAAGAAAAUGUUGUUGGAACGAUGCUAGAGGAUACCAACGAUCGGAGAUUUUAAUGGACACGGGAUGAGUGAGUUGUACAUCAUCAAAGGCAAUUGGUCAGAUCUUCAAAGGCAAUGCUGCAUUGGAUGGCGAAUGGUGGUCACUGUGGUUUCCUUCUAGAAGUUUAAGAUACCAAGAUAGCAAACGAUUAC